CCUACGUGUGGCUGCAGUGGGGAAUAUUGGACAAUGGGCGAAAGCCUGAUCCAGCCAUGCCGCGUGUGUGAAGAAGGCCUUCGGGUUGUAAAGCACUUUCAGUGGGGAAGAAAGCCUUGGGGCUAAUACCCUCGAGGAAGGACAUUACCCACAGAAGAAGCACCGGCUAACUCCGUGCCAGCAGCCGCGGUAAUACGGAGGGUGCGAGCGUUAAUCGGAAUUACUGGGCGUAAAGCGCGCGUAGGCGGUCUGAUAAGCCGGUUGUGAAAGCCCCGGGCUCAACCUGGGAACGGCAUCCGGAACUGUCAGGCUAGAGUGCAGGAGAGGAAGGUAGAAUUCCCGGUGUAGCAGUGAAAUGCGUAGAGAUCGGGAGGAAUACCAGUGGCGAAGGCGGCCUUCUGGACUGACACUGACGCUGAGGUGCGAAAGCGUGGGUAGCAAACAGGAUUAGAUACCCCUGUAGUC
rnacentral:rRNA from 1 species